CAAGGGCACGAGGUCUGAUGGAGAACUGUCCUCCCAGUUAGUGAAUCGCACAGGUUCAUCUUCAAACCACUUCAUUUCUUCACCUGACAAGAUACUCCAAUCAGUAAUCCACUAUCCCAGAAACAGAUGUCCUAGUCUGAGAGAGCCGUCCCCUCCAGGGAUUUGUCUUCUCCUCUACUAUCCCACACUGAUUACCCCCACCCCCAGACCCCCCUCACGAGGAAUCACAAGCUGAGAGGAAGCUGAUGGAAUCCGAAGCAUGAAGUGGUGACAGGAUUGAGCAACCCGAGUCUGGACUCCAGCCUAGAGGAUCUUCUGUUGUGACCGACUGGUCGACUGCCUCACACCAGUUUGACCUACUGUUUUCCAACUCAUUGGUGGAAUAAAUGCUCUACCUUCUGUCA